AGCGGAGUGAAACUACAGAAGACAGGGAUAUUACGUUUGCAGUAGAACGUACAUUCCGCCGGAGAGCACAUCGACCGGACUUGGUUGUCUGGCCCCAGAAGCGCAAGUAAGUGGCCGACAGGCCAGAAGGCGGCGAAAACGAACGUGAAGAAAUAACUUGUUUUCAGAAUCAGAAUUACCGUCCGGCAGUCGGUAGAGUCGGAGGUAUGGCGCUAACAUGAUGAGCAUAGGGACGUCAGAAAUGACCGACGGGUUCAAGACUUAGCGCCAGUGUUUGCCCAUGCCCCACGGCGACGGUUUGGCGUGUGCGAUUGAUAGGGUUAUUUCGUCGGUCGCCAAGAGGAUCAUUCGUGCUGAUGAUGUUUCAUCCAUUCGAAUGGCUAGCAGAUUGAGGUUGGAGUGAAUAUAAUAAUUUCUUCCCAAGAAAGGUGUACAAGUAUGACGUUACGAUUUUUUUAUAAGGAAGAUAAAACAAACUCUACCGCAGACCACAACCUUGAUCCAUCUUUCAGGAGAAACACGGAUUCCACGCUGGUAG